rnacentral:rRNA from 1 species
AGCACGUUAUGGUGGGCACUCUAAGGAGACUGCCGGUGACAAACCGGAGGAAGGUGGGGAGUGACGUCAAGUCAUCAUGGCCCUUACGGCCUGGGCUACACACGUGCUACAAUGGUCGGUACAAAGGGUUGCCAAGCCGCGAGGUGGAGCUAAUCCCAUAAAACCGAUCGUAGUCCGGAUCGCAGUCUGCAACUCGACUGCGUGAAGUCGGAAUCGCUAGUAAUCGUGAAUCAGAAUGUCACGGUGAAUACGUUCCCGGGCCUU